rnacentral:miRNA from 1 species
AAUGCAUGAUGCCCAAUUAAAUUUAAAUUUCACAUAAACAACAUUUCUUUUUUCAGAAUAUGUAUGCUCCAUGCAAUAUUUGGGACAUUCUUAUACUAAAAAUUUUAUUAGCGGUUUCUCUGAACUUCAAAUUUAAUUGAUGCUCCUGCAUUUU